AAAAAUGGACCAUAUUAGCAAACGAAAUUUUAUUUUUCCAACUCAUAAUUAUGAAUUAAUUCUAUAUAAAUUUAGUUGUUUGGGGUGAUAUUAGGUAAAUCCUGAAUUCCAUUUUGAUUGAUAAUUUGGACCUUGAAGUUGGGCAAGUUAAUGAUUAACCUUUUAUGAACUUCCUGUACACACUUCUUCAUUAGAUCAUAGGCUUCUUCCUUGGUCAUAUUUUCUUUAUAGUUCCUAUCCAAAAUUGCUAUAGAGAAAUAGCCACCAUACCCAUGAGCAGCAUAAUCCAAGGAAGAGCAGGAUGCAAGAUAAU